UACGGGGGGGGCAAGCGUUGUCCGGAAUUAUUGGGCGUAAAGGGCGCGUAGGUGGGAAAGCAAGUCUGGGGUGCAAACUUGUGGCUUAACUGCAAGCUUGCCCUGGAAACUACUUUUCUUGAAUUCGGGAGAGGGAAACGGAAUUCCUGGUGUAGCGGUGAAAUGCGUAGAUAUCAGGAAGAACACCGGUGGCGAAGGCGGUUUCCUGGCCCGAUAUUGACACUGAUGCGCGAAAGUGUGGGGAGCAAACAGG
rnacentral:rRNA from 1 species